GUUGCCAGAUCACCAGUUGUCCUUCCCUGCACCACUUUGGUAGGUACUAACCACUGCAUACUGUAAACACCCCACAAGACUUGCAUUUUUGGAGGUGCUUUGACUCAGUCAUCUAGCCAUCACUAUUUGACCAUUGUUAUAGUCACACAGAUCUUUUUGCUUGCUCAUUUUUUCUGCUUCCAGCACAUGAAAUUCAAGAACUGACUGUUCAAUUGCUGCCCAUGGAUAGGUGCCAUUGUAAAAAUUUAAUCAAUGUUAUUCACUUCACAUGUCAGUGGUUAUGGCUGAUCAGUGUAUAUAUGCAAUAGAUAAUAAGCCUUCUAAUAGUAUGCAUAUAAGUAUAUUUAUUUUGAAAUAUUAAAAACCAUGACCUUAAUUUAAAU